ACACCUCAACUCUCAUGGCUUGCCAUGAUGAGCUUGGACUUUGGGGGUCUUGCUGGCCUGCGGUUGGCUCCUCUCAAAUGGAUCAGCUUGCCAGUGUUUGGUGGCAUCACAAGUGUGAUAACUAUCUACGCUUGUGGUUUUCCAUCAGGUAACCUUCAGCAAUGGAGGUUCGCUGGGGCUCAUAAACAUCUCUCCUCAGUGGAGACAGCUCUUUGGAC
rnacentral:misc_RNA from 1 species